UACGUAGGGCGCAAGCGUUGUCCGGAAUUAUUGGGCGUAAAGAGCUCGUAGGCGGUUUGUCGCGUCUGCUGUGAAAACCUAAGGCUCAACCUUGGGCUUGCAGUGGGGUACGGGCAGACUAGAGUGCGGUAGGGGUGACUGGAAUUCCUGGUGUAGCGGUGGAAUGCGCAGAUAUCAGGAGGAACACCGAGUGGCGAAGGCAGGUCACUGGGCCGCAAACU
rnacentral:rRNA from 1 species